AUUGAACGCUGGCGGCAGGCCUAACACAUGCAAGUCGAACGAGUGGCGGACGGGUGAGUAAUGUCUGGGAAACUGCCUGAUGGAGGGGGCUAACUACUGGAAACGGUAGCUACUACCGCAUACCAUCAGAUGUGUCCAGAUGGGAUUAGCUUGUCGGUGGGGUAACGGCUCACCAAGGCGACGCUCCCUAGCUGGUCUGAGAGGAUGACCAGCCACACUGGAACUGAGACACGGCCCAGACUCCUACGGGAGGCAGCAGUGGGGAAUAUUGCACAAUGGGCGCAAGCCUGAUGCAGCCAUGCCGCGGGUAUGAAGAAGGCCUUCGGGUUGUAAAGUACUUUCAGCGGGGAGGCGUUACCCGCAGAAGAAGCACCGGCUAACUCCGUGCCAGCAGCCGCGGUAAUUC
rnacentral:rRNA from 1 species